AUUGAACGCUGGCGGCAGGCCUAACACAUGCAAGUCGAGCGGAUGAAGGGAGCUUGCUCCUGGAUUCAGCGGCGGACGGGUGAGUAAUGCCUAGGAAUCUGCCUGGUAGUGGGGGAUAACGUCCGGAAACGGGCGCUAAUACCGCAUACGUCCUGAGGGAGAAAGUGGGGGAUCUUCGGACCUCACGCUAUCAGAUGAGCCUAGGUCGGAUUAGCUAGUUGGUGGGGUAAAGGCCUACCAAGGCGACGAUCCGUAACUGGUCUGAGAGGAUGAUCAGUCACACUGGAACUGAGACACGGUCCAGACUCCUACGGGAGGCAGCAGUGGGGAAUAUUGGACAAUGGGCGAAAGCCUGAUCCAGCUAUGCCGCGUGUGUGAAGAAGGUCUUCGGAUUGUAAAGCACUUUAAGGUGGGAGGAAGGGAAGUAAGUGAAUACCUUGCUGUUUUGACGUUACCAACAGAAUAAGCACCGGCUAACUUCGUG
rnacentral:rRNA from 1 species